rnacentral:siRNA from 1 species
UGGAUGUGGUAGCCGUUUCUC